rnacentral:rRNA from 1 species
CCUACGGGAGGCAGCAGUGGGGGAUAUUGGACAAUGGGGGGAACUCUGAUCCAGCGACGCCGCGUGAGUGAAGAAGUAUCUCGGUAUGUAAAGCUCUAUCAGCAGGGAAGAAGAAAUGACGGUAGCUGAGUAAGAAGCCCCGGCUAACUACGUGCCAGCAGCCGCGGUAAUACGUAGGGGGCAAGCGUUAUCCGGAAUUACUGGGAGUAAAGGGGGGGUAGACGGUGAUGUAAGUCUGGAGUGAAAGGCGGGGGCCCAACCCCCGGACUGCUAUGGAAACUAUGUGACUGGAGUGCAGGAGAGGUGAGCGGAAUUCCUAGUGUAGCGGUGAAAUGCGUAGAUAUAAGGAGGAACACCAGUGGCGAAGGCGACUCACUGGACUGUAACUGACGUUGAGGCUCGAAAGCGUGGGGAGCAAACAGGAUUAGAUACCCUUGUAGUC